GGGCUCAUAGCUCAGUGGUAGAGCGCUCGCCUUGCACGCGAGAGGCCGGGGGUUCAAAUCCCUCUGAGUCCA
rnacentral:tRNA from 1 species